AUAUAUCAACCUCUUCAGCUUUUGCUUGUUGAGUGUUGGAUGUGGGGGUCUUUUUGCUGGUCUUUUAAAGAGGUCAGCUCCCCUAAAAUUUAUUAGCGGAACAAUUUGUUGACCGUCCAUUGGUGUGAUAAUUAUCUACACUAUUGAUGUGAGGCAGUUCAGCUUCUAAUAGUUCAUUGACUUGGACAAUUUUUCAUUA
rnacentral:misc_RNA from 1 species